GCAAGAGAACAAGGAGAGGAGGAUGCUAGGGGAAGCUAUCCAGUUACCCAGGCACUGAGUAAUAAUCAAAGUAAGAUACACAGAGUUUAAAAAAAGGAAAAAGCCCAGAGCCAGAGGCAAAGGACGAAAGGAUAAUUCAAAGAUAAGAAAAGCUGGCAAGGAACAAGCACAGCUAAAGCUAGGCAUUGUAAGGAAGAAGAAGCUACUGUGUGUAAUUUAGCUGGGAGCUGGUUGUCAGGACCAAAAAGAAGGAAGGAAUGAAAAUAACAGACAUGAUGAACAAAAAAGGGGGACACAGUGAAUGCUACUUUGAUGUAACCAUCAGUCCCCUAUAUCCCAACUGACCAGGGCAGCCUUUCUGUACUUAGGGACAGAAUGUGAAAAAAACCAGUAUCUGAGCCAAGCCAUGAUUGGUCCAUUUCUUGCUCUGACCUCACAAUGACAGAACCCUGUUGCCUAACAACUCUGGCUGAGGCUGCCUCCUCUCCUUCCAGUACAGAGGCUGAUCGUCAGUUGAAACUUGGUGAUUUAGACAGAAGUGAGCUGGUUCCACUUGGUGGAUAUUCAUGAACUGUUGAAUCUGAACACUGGCCCGACGGUCAACACCUCACUGCAUAGGCUGAGGCCUAGCAGGAUUUCUGGUCACACCGGGAUCAGCUUGGCCACAGCCACCAAAUCGAGAACCUGGCCAUGGAGCAGGGCAGAGAGACCCUCUACUGUGACGAGAAGACAUUUACCAGUGUGUAUCAAAUGAUGACCACACUGGGACGAGGAACGUUUGCCACAGUCAAAC